ACUGUGUGCCCCUUAUUAGGCCGUACUUAGUACAGGUCCCUUGACCCGGGAAGUUGGUGCGCUUUUUGAAGCAAUCCCAACACUGCCCCCGCAACGGUAAAUUGGUUAUGUCGAUUUGUAGGCCACUGUGUGUUUAACAUGGGAAGGUGAAUCGACUGCAAGCUUGGCUUGCACUGAUGAGUCCGGAUACCAGCCUAAUAAAUGAUUACCAU
rnacentral:ncRNA from 1 species